rnacentral:lncRNA from 1 species
UCUAUGCAAUGUUCACAGGCGUUGCCUCCUGGAAUCCCAGAGGGCUUAUGGAAGACAUCAGAAUGUCCAUGCCCAUUUUUCAAAGAUCAAAAUCCUUCCAUACCAGUUGAUAAAGAGUCACUGCUCCACACUCUGCAGGUGCCCCUCCCUCCAGAGCUUCUGACCCUUCCCAUGAUCCAGCAGCCAAAGGGUUAAUGUCUGGCACAGCGGGAGGUCUCCAGGAACUAGAGCCUGCAAAAGGUGGGUUUGAUAGGCUGGUGCCUGGGUGGGGCCAUUCAUUACUAUUUGAGUUCCAAGUUCACAGCUCAAGGCUGGCUUACUCAUAAGGGCAUAGCUGUUCAGUGCCUAGGGCCCAAUCUACUUCAGGGGGCCCAGAAAAAUGUUUUAAGUUUAAUUUUUUUUUUAAAUCAGAAGAAAAACGUGAAUAUAAUAAUCAUGAAUAUAUAAUAAUGAGUUGUGCCUGGAUUACAUUGUCUUUCUAUCGACACAGCCAUAAAAUAUACU